GACGAACGCUGGCGGCGUGCUUAACACAUGCAAGUCGAACGGAAAGGCCCUGCUUUUGUGGGGUGCUCGAGUGGCGAACGGGUGAGUAACAAGUGAGUAACCUGCCCUUGACUUUGGGAUAACUUCAGGAAACUGGGGCUAAUACCGGAUAGGAGCUCCUGCUGCAUGGUGGGGGUUGGAAAGUUUCGGCGGUUGGGGAUGGACUCGCGGCUUAUCAGCUUGUUGGUGGGGUAGUGGCUUACCAAGGCUUUGACGGGUAGCCGGCCUGAGAGGGUGACCGGCCACAUUGGGACUGAGAUACGGCCCAGACUCCUACGGGAGGCAGCAGUGGGGAAUAUUGCACAAUGGGCGGAAGCCGGAUGCAGCAACGCCGCGUGCGGGAGGACGGCCUUCGGGUUGUAAACCGCUUUCGCCUGUGACGAAGCGUGAGUGACGGUAAUGGGUAAAGAAGCACCGGCUAACUACGU
rnacentral:rRNA from 1 species